rnacentral:rRNA from 1 species
UAUCUCUGUAGAGUCUGCAUAUCAAUAAGCGGAGGAAAAGAAACUAACAAGGAUUCCCUUAGUAACGGCGAGUGAAGCGGGAAGAGCUCAAAUUUGAAAUCUUCAAGGUUCUACCUUGACGAAUUGUAGUUUAAAGAAGUGUUUUCUGUUAGAUGAGUAGCAAAAGUUCCUUGGAAUGGGACAUCAUAGAGGGUGAGAAUCCCGUAUUUGGUUAUUCAUUCUAGCUUUGUGAUACACUUUCAAAGAGUCGGAUUGUUUGGGAAUGCAGUCCAAAAUGGGUGGUAAAUUUCAUCUAAAGCUAAAUAUUGGCGAGAGACCGAUAGCGAACAAGUACCGUGAGGGAAAGAUGAAAAGAACUUUGAAAAGAGAGUUAAACAGUACGUGAAAUUGUCAAAAGGGAAGCGUUUGACACCAGUGUUGUUUUUCCGAAAAUCAAUUACGAAUGGCUUGAUUCUGUGUUGUAUUGACCUUAUCAGCUUUCUGCACUUUUUUCGAGUCUUUCUUAAUGCACUUUUUCGGUUAACAAGUCAACAUCAAUUUCUUUUGUUGUAAAAGAGUAUUCGGAAGGUGGCCUUCUUUUCGGAGAAAGUGUUUAUAGCCCUAUACUUCUACAAUCGGAGAGAUUGAGGUCUGCAGCGUAGAUCCCUCGGGGUUAGAUACACUUGUGCUAAGUUGUAGCUUUUCAUAGACAACUUGUUGACUAUGUUUAGUCAUGCGGCUUACUCGCUUGUGCUAUUUUACCUACGCUUAGGAUGUUGACGAGACUGUCGAUCU